AUAUAGCGCUAUUGCUAGAUUUGGCAGACAGAGCGCUGCAUAAAAGACGUAUUUUUAGAGACCGUGCAGACUUACUUGCAGAGAAUGAUGACUGGUUGAUUAGUCGUUUCAGACUACCCGGACCACUUCUUUUGUAUUUAUGCAGUAUAUUGGAGGCCAAACUCAGAAGGGAAACCAGAAGAUCCCACAGCAUUCCUGAACACUUGCAGGUGCUGUCCGUGCUUGGUUUUUUGGCAACAGGAACAUUCCAGCGGGAGAUUGCAGACAGGUCAGGGAUAUCUCAGUCAUCCAUGAGUCGCAUCAUCCCAGAUGUUCUUGAUGGCCUAAUACGGCUACUGCCUCAAUAUAUAAAAUUACCCUAUAACCUAGUCCAUCAGUUGGAAGUGAAGCAGAGAUUCUUUGCAAUUACAAACCUGCCAAACGUCAUCGGGGCAAUUGACUGCACACACAUUCGCAUCAAGGCGCCAUCAAAUGAUGCAUUUGCAUUUCUGAAUUGGAAAAACUAUCAUUCCAUCAAUGUGCAAAUAAUUUGUGAUGCUAAAUGUGCAAUAUUUAAUGUUGUGGCCCGCUGGCCAGGUGGAACUCAUGAUAGUUUCAUCCUUCGGAGCAGCUCAGUUGGCAGACGUUUGGACAGUGGUGCAGUUGAAGAUGGAUGGCUAAUUGCACUUCUUGACUUAAAACCAUCUGUGCAGAGCCAACACUGCGGGAUGGUGCGGAAUAUACUACCGGUCCAGGUGCCGUAGGAUGAAUGGGUCUGGUUGCCGCUUCAGUGGUCUCAUGGGCGGACACAGUUGGCAUUUGUCUGUCUUUACAAAGAAUUUAAAAAAAAUCAGCUCAAAUGUGCAUUUCCUCUAAAAUUAUUAUAUCUCUUACUUUUAACACUUUAAAAUUGACCUAAAUUAUUUAAUAAAACUGUAGCCUCACCA